rnacentral:rRNA from 1 species
UACGUAGGGGGCAAGCGUUGUCCGGAAUGACUGGGCGUAAAGGGCGUGUAGGCGGCCUGAUAAGUAUGAAGUGAAAGUCCUGCUUUCAAGGUGGGAAUUGCUUUGUAGACUGUCGGGCUUGAGUGCGGAAGAGGUAAGUGGAAUUCCCAGUGUAGCGGUGAAAUGCGUAGAGAUUGGGAGGAACACCAGUGGCGAAGGCGACUUACUGGGCCGUAACUGACGCUGAGGCGCGAAAGCGUGGGGAGCGAACAGG